UACGUAGGGGGCAAGCGUUGUCCGGAUUUAUUGGGCGUAAAGAGCGCGUAGGCGGUUAGACAAGUCCGUUGUGAAAACUAGAGGCUUAACCUCUAGACGUCGAUGGAAACUGUUUGGCUAGAGUCCGGAAGAGGAGAAUGGAAUUCCUGGUGUAGCGGUGAAAUGCGCAGAUAUCAGGAAGAACACCCGUGGCUAAGGCGGUUCUCUAGUACGGUACUGACGCUGAGACGCGAAAGCGUGGGGAGCGAACAGG
rnacentral:rRNA from 1 species